GAACUUAAGCAUAUCAAUAAGCGGAGGAAAAGAAACCAACAGGGAUUACCUCAGUAACGGCGAGUGAAGCGGUAAAAGCUCAAAUUUGAAAUCUGGCUCUUUUAGAGUCCGAGUUGUAAUUUGUAGAAGAUGCUUCGGGUGUGGUUCCGGUCUAAGUUCCUUGGAACAGGACGUCAUAGAGGGUGAGAAUCCCGUAUGUGACUGGAUACCUAUGCUCAUGUGAAGCUCUUUCGACGAGUCGAGUUGUUUGGGAAUGCAGCUCAAAAUGGGUGGUAUAUUUCAUCUAAAGCUAAAUAUUGGCCAGAGACCGAUAGCGCACAAGUAGAGUGAUCGAAAGAUGAAAAGCACUUUGGAAAGAGAGUUAAACAGUACGUGAAAUUGUUGAAAGGGAAGCGCUUGCAAUCAGACUUGCACUUGGUGUUCAUCGGGGUCUCGUGCCCCGUGUAUUUCAUCAAGUUCAGGCCAGCAUCAGUUUGGGUGGUUAGAUAAAGGCUUAGGGAAUGUGGCUUUCUUCGGGAAGUGUUAUAGCCCUAGGUGCAAUGUAGCCUACCUGGACUGAGGACCGCGCUUCGGCUAGGAUGCUGGCGUAAUGGUUGUAAGCGACCCGUCUUGAAACACGGACCAAGGAGUGUACCUAAUAUGCGAGUGUUUGGGUGUUAAACCCAUACGCGUAAUGAAAGUGAACGCUGGUGAGAACCCUUAAGGGUGCAUCAUCGACCGAUCUUGAUGUCUUCGGAUGGAUUUGAGUAAGAGCAUAUUGGGUGCGACCCGAAAGAUGGUGAUCUAUACGUGAAUAGGGUGAAGCCAGAGGAAACUCUGGUGGAGGCUCGCAGCGGUUCUGACGUGCAAAUCGAUCGUCAAAUUUGCGUAUAGGGGCGAAAGACUAAUCGAACCAUCUAGUAGCUGGUUCCUGCCGAAGUUUCCCUC
rnacentral:rRNA from 1 species